rnacentral:rRNA from 1 species
UUUCGCAAUGCCCGAAAGGGUGACGAAGCGACGCCGCGUGGGUGAGGAAGGCCUUCGGGUUGUAAAGCCCUGUCAGGAGUUAAGAAAUGUAGGUGUGCUAAUAUCACACUUAUUUGACGAAGGCUCCAAAGGAAGUCACGGCUAACUCUGUGCCAGCAGCCGCGGUAAUACAGAGGUGGCAAGCGUUGUUCGGAAUUAUUGGGCGUAAAGAGCACGUAGGUGGGUUUGUAAGUCAGAUGUGAAAGCCUCCUGUUCAACGGGAGAAUUGCAUCUGAAACUACGAAUCUUGAGUGUAGGAGGGGAGAAUGGAACUUCUGGUGGAGCGGUGAAAUGCGUAGAUAUCAGAAGGAACGCCGGCGGCGAAAGCGAUUCUCUGGCCUAUUACUGACACUCAGUGUGCGAAAGCUAGGGGAGCAAACGGGAUUAGAUACCCCGGUAGUCCUAGCCGUAAACGAUGGGCACUAAGUAGAGGGGUUUUA